AGCCAGUCAAAAACUUGUCAGGUCCUGCCACGUGGGCACCGGGAUGCUGUGGUCGAAUACACAGAACCCUGCAGCAAUAAGAAAAGUGGAGUGAGGAUGAUUUGUCCCCUCUUUAAAAACAUCAGGAGAAGAUGCACAGACAGUCUUGUCACGCUAACCUUGUGACAAAGUAGAGUCACCAUACAGGAAAGCCACGCUGAGCUGAAUUCUCCAGGCCUGUCUCAGCCUGUUGCUGCCUUUCUGUGGAUCCUUUGCUGCCACACCACCAGAAGGGACCAGGCAGAGGAAUCCAGGCCCUUUCUUUCUUCUGGCUGGGAGCACCCGAAUAACGAAGGACCUGCUCCAGCAGGAAAGAGUACCCAUGUCCAUCCCAUACCCCUGACAGCUCAGCCCCGAUUGCUCAUCUGUUUCCAAGUACAGCUGAGACAUUUUGCUGGUGGGCAGAGAAGUCAGGGACUCUGCAUCCAGCACCCUGCAGCAGAGGAAGCAUUAGUAUUGCUGUUGUUAGCCUUGUUAUUUUCUCCUAAUAAAAAGGUGGUCGUGACUCACUCCAUU
rnacentral:lncRNA from 1 species